rnacentral:rRNA from 1 species
AGUGAACGCUGGCGGUAGGCCUAACACAUGCAAGUCGAACGGCAGCACAGUAAGAGCUUGCUCUUACGGGUGGCGAGUGGCGGACGGGUGAGGAAUACAUCGGAAUCUACUUUUUCGUGGGGGAUAACGUAGGGAAACUUACGCUAAUACCGCAUACGACCUACGGGUGAAAGCAGGGGAUCUUCGGACCUUGCGCGAGUGAAUGAGCCGAUGUCGGAUUAGCUAGUUGGCGGGGUAAAGGCCCACCAAGGCGACGAUCCGUAGCUGGUCUGAGAGGAUGAUCGGCCCAACUGGAACUGAGACACGGUCCAGACUCCUACGGGAGGCAGCGGUGGGGAAUAUUGGACAAUGGGAGCAAGCCUGAUCCAGCCAUACCGCGUGGGUGAAGAAGGCCUUCGGGUUGUAAAGCCCUUUUGUUGGGAAAGAAAAGCAGCAGGUUAAUACCCCGCUGUUCUGACGGUACCCAAAGAAUAAGCACCGGCUAACUUCGUG